UACGUAGGGGCUAGCGUUAUCCGGAAUUACUGGGCGUAAAGCGUGCGCAGGCGGUUUGCUAAGACAGGUGUGAAAUCCCCGGGCUUAACCUGGGAACUGCGCUUAUGACUGGCAGGCUAGAGUACGGUAGAGGGGGUGGAAUUCCUGGUGUAGCAGUGAAAUGCGUAGAUAUCAGGAGGAACACCGAUGGCGAAGGCAGCCCCCUGGGCCUGUACUGACGCUCAUGCACGAAAGCGUGGGGAGCAAACAGGAUUAGAUACCCUGGUA
rnacentral:rRNA from 1 species